rnacentral:rRNA from 1 species
CCUACGGGUGGCUGCAGUCGAGAAUUUUUCACAAUGGGCGAAAGCCUGAUGGAGCGACGCCGCGUGGGGGAUGAAGGGCUUCGGUCCGUAAACCCCUGUCAUUUGCGAACAAAGUUGCCGCGUGAACAACGCGUCAAUUGAUAGUAGCAGAAGAGGAAGGGACGGCUAACUCUGUGCCAGCAGCCGCGGUAAUACAGAGGUCCCGAGCGUUGUUCGGAUUCACUGGGCGUAAAGGGUGCGUAGGUGGUGAGGUAAGUUUGUGGUGAAAUCUCCGG